GAUGAACGCUGGCGGCGUGCCUAAUACAUGCAAGUCGAGCGAACGGACGAGAAGCUUGCUUCUCUGAUGUUAGCGGCGGACGGGUGAGUAACACGUGGAUAACCUACCUAUAAGACUGGGAUAACUUCGGGAAACCGGAGCUAAUACCGGAUAAUAUUUUGAACCGCAUGGUUCAAAAGUGAAAGACGGUCUUGCUGUCACUUAUAGAUGGUUCCGCGCUGCAUUAGCUAGUUGGUAAGGUAACGGCUUACCAAGGCAACGAUGCAUAGCCGACCUGAGAGGGUGAUCGGCCACACUGGAGCUGAGACACGGUCCAGACUCCUACGGGAGGCAGCAGUAGGGAAUCUUCCGCAAUGGGCGAAAGCCUGACGGAGCAACGCCGCGUGAGUGAUGAAGGUCUUCGGAUCGUAAAACUCUGUUAUUAGGGAAGAACAUAUGUGUAAGUAACUGUGCACAUCUUGACGGUACCUAAUCAGAAAGCCACGGCUAACUACGUG
rnacentral:rRNA from 1 species